rnacentral:sRNA from 1 species
AGCACCUGUUUCCGAGCGGAGAGCGCGGGUCGUUUCCUCUCCUGGUGUCCCGUCGCGGCUUGGGACCCGGCAAGAUGGGCAAGAAGGGCAAGAAGGAGAAGAAGGGCCGCGGCGCGGAGAAGACGGCCGCCAAGAUGGAGAAGAAGGUGUCUAAGCGCUCGCGGAAGGAGGAGACGUGACUGAGCCCAGUCGAAUGACACUGACUGGAGGAAAGCUGAGCGGGCUGUGGCUCUGUGGCGGGUCCUGGGAACAAGUCUCACGUGUGCCUGCUUGCUUGCCCUAGGAAGACCUGGAAGCGCUCAUAGCCCAUUUCCAGACACUCGAUGCCAAGAGGACUCAGACUGUGGAAAUUCCGUGCUCCCCGCCCUCACCAAGACUUCUUUGUAUAACGAGCUCUAUGUCUACAAUAUCAGAAAGGACACCUGGACCAAAGUUGACAUCCCCAGUCCACCUCCGAGGCGCUGUGCUCACCAGGCGGUGGUGGUGCCUCAAGGUGGCGGACAGCUGUGGGUCUUUGGAGGGGAGUUUGCCUCUCCCAACGGAGAG